rnacentral:rRNA from 1 species
AACGAACGCUGGCGGCAUGCCUAACACAUGCAAGUCGAACGAGACCUUCGGGUCUAGUGGCGCGCGGGUGCAUAACGCGUGGGAACCUGCCCUUAGGUUCGGAAUAACUCCCCGAAAGGGGUGCUAAUACCGGAUAAUGUCUUCGGACCAAAGAUUUAUCGCCUUUGGAUGGGCCCGCGUUGGAUUAGCUAGUUGGUAGGGUAAAAGCCUACCAAGGCGACGAUCCAUAGCUGGUCUGAGAGGAUGAUCAGCCACACUGGGACUGAGACACGGCCCAGACUCCUACGGGAGGCAGCAGUGGGGAAUAUUGGACAAUGGGCGAAAGCCUGAUCCAGCAAUGCCGCGUGAGUGAUGAAGGCCUUAGGGUUGUAAAGCUCUUUUACCCGGGAUGAUAAUGACAGUACCGGGAGAAUAAGCUCCGGCUAACUCCGUG